rnacentral:rRNA from 1 species
UGAACGCUAGCUACAGGCUUAACACAUGCAAGUCGAGGGGCAGCAUGGUCUUAGCUUGACUAAGACUGAUGGCGACCGGCGCGACGGGUGAGUAACACGUAUCCAACCCGCCGUCUACUCUUGGACAGCCUUCUGAAAGGAAGAUUAAUACAAGAUGGCAUCAUGAGUCCGCAUGUUCACAUGAUUAAAGGUAUUCCGGUAGACGAUGGGGAUGCGUUCCAUUAGAUAGUAGGCGGGGUAACGGCCCACCUAGUCUUCGAUGGAUAGGGGUUCUGAGAGGAAGGUCCCCCACAUUGGAACUGAGACACGGUCCAAACUCCUACGGGAGGCAGCAGUGAGGAAUAUUGGUCAAUGGACGAGAGUCUGAACCAGCCAAGUAGCGUGAAGGAUGAAGGUCCUACGGAUUGUAAACUUCUUUUAUAAGGGAAUAAAACCUCCCACGUGUGGGAGCUUGUAUGUACCUUAUGAAUAAGCAUCGGCUAACUCCGUG